GUACAUGAUGACGCCCUGGGUGAAGAGCUCAGUUUAGAUGCUUCUAAAAAUAGUAACCCCCAUCAGGCAGGCAGAAGAGGUAUGAUUCCCCUCACGGUGCAGAGGAGACAGGACUGAGGGCUAAACAUUUGCCCAAGAGUCCAGGGCCAACAAAGAGGAUGUGUGGGGACUCAGUCAGCAAUUUUUAAACGUCGUUUCAUGCUGCUUCCAUGAACAUCACCAAAGGGGUAGAGGCAGGAAAGUUAAUGGAUUGAAGAAGAGCAUGUUCAAAAAAAUCAACUGCCUCCAGUACAGGUGCAAGAAAUGUGACUUAGCGAAAAUAUCUUAAACAAACAAAACACAACACAAAAUGUGGUGUUGGACGACGGUAAGUCACUGCAAACCAGAACUGCUAGAGAAGUUCAUAGAUCUGAGCCUGCCACAGAUUAUUUCUACAUUAACACAUGCAGCUCGCAUGUUGCCUGUGGUUUCUAUGCAGACAUCUACACUCAAAUUUUUAAAUGCUGUGUAUUAUGUUUUUUAAAUUGCUGCAGCACAAAUGACCACAAAUUCAGUGGCUUCAACAGCAUCCGUUUAUGAGCUCAUAGUUCUGUAGGCUGGAGGUCUGAGCAGGGCACGGCUGGCUUUUCUGCUUAGGGCAGCACAAGGCUGCAAUCAAAAUGUUGACUGGUGGGUUCUCAUCUGGUGCUUGGGAUCUGCAUUCCCGUUGUUUCCUUACGGCUGCAGGACUGAGGUCCUGUGUCCCUGCUGGCUGUCAGCCAGGGACUGCGUUCAGCUCCUGGGGGCAACAUGUAGUCCUUGCCACAUGACCUCUUCCAUUGUGAAAGCCGGCAAUGAUUGGCCAGGCACGGUGGCUCACGCCUGUAAUCCCAGCACUUUGGGAGGCUGAGGUGAGUGAUUACCUGAGGUCAGGAGUUCGAGACCAGCCUGACCAACAUGGUGAAACCCCGUCUCUAUUAAAAAUGCAAAAAAGUAGCCAGGUGUGGUGGCAGAUGCCUGUAAUCCCAGCUACUUGGGAGGCUGAGGCAGGAGAAUCGCUUGAACCCAGGAGGUGGAGGUUGCAGUGAGCUGAGAUCGUGCCAUUGCACUCCAGCCUAGGCGACAAGAGCGAAAUUCCAUCUCAAAAAUAAAUAAAUAAAUAAGAAAAGAAAAGAAAAAAAAGCCCGCAAUGGGGCCUCUUCUUGAAGCUGCGUCCCUCUUGUGCUUUCUGUCAGGAAGAGCCCGGUUCCUUUUCUAGGGCUUUACUUGGGUAGGUUGGGCCCAUGCGAGAUAAGUUCUCUUUAACAGAUUUAGGACCAUAAUACAUUUGCAAAAUCCAAAUUCCUUCUCAUCAACACCCACAUUACUGUUUGAGCGAAUAACGGGGAAGUGUGUGCACACCAGGGGCAGGAAGCCUGUAUCUUUGAGUUCUAACACACAUUGGGGCACACUGCUUCCACACCAGGCACUUCUAUGCAUCUGAAGAACUGCAACGUGAUAGCUGAGAAAUGGAGUGCUUCCCCACUUUAUUUAAUGCUUCCCCACCUUUUUUAAACCAGCGGAGUGAAGAUGACGUCAGUUUUAUUCCCUGGGAAACAGACUGAUUCAAUGUACUUUCCUGAAGACCAACAGUGAACAACACCUUCCCCGUCCAAACACUCAGUGUCAGUGAGGAUGUAGGGAAAUGAGCACUGUGCUGAUUUGGUAUAAAUACGCAUAAACUUUCCGGAGGGAAAUUUUGCCCAUGAAUCAAAGACCUUAAAGUAUGGCUGUUACGGCAAACAGUAUGGAAGUUCCUCAAAAAAAUUAAAAAUAGAACAACCAUAGGAUCCAGUAAUCUUACUUCUGAGUACACACCCAAAGGAACUGAAAUCAGGAUCUCUAAGAGAUACCUGCACUCCCACGUUCACUGCUGCAUUAUUCACAAUCGCCAAGAUAUGGAAACACAAGUGUCCAUCAGUGGAUAAGUGGAUAAAGGAAAUGUGGCAUAUACACAAGAUGAAAUACUAUUCAGCCUUUAAAAAGGAGGAAGUCUUGCCAUCUGCAACAACAUGGACCUGGAGGACAUUAAGCGAAGUGAAAUAAGCCGAGCACAGGAAGAGAAACACUGUAUGAUCCCACUUGCAUGUGAACUUCAAGUUGAACUAAUAGGAGAGAGUGGAAUGGUGGUUACGGGGCUGGGGGAUGGAAGUGGGAGUGGGGAGGUAUUGGUCAAAGAAUUCAAAAUCUGUUAGAUAGGAGGAAUAAGUUCAAGAGAUCUAUGGUACCACAUGGUGACUAAAGUUAAUAACAAUAUAUUCUUGGAAAUUGCCAAGACGGUCGAUUUUAAGUGUUCUCACCACAAAAAAUGAUAACUAUGUGAUGUAAUGCAUAUGUCAGUUGGCUCGAUUUGGCCAUUUCAGUGUCUACAUAUUUCAAAAUAUGUUGUACACAAUAAAAAUAUACUAUUUUUAUUUGUCAAUUAAAAAAUAAAUUUUGUAAAAACCUUAAAAAUAUUCAUGCUAUUUUACUCAUGAGUUUCACUUUUAGGAAUUCAAUCCAAGGUAACAAUCAGAAAUGUGUUAAAAGGAUUUAUAUAUAAAAUACCAUGUCCAUUUCAGGGUUUUUUAUAAUGGUAAAAAAAUUAACAAUGACCUAACUACCUUACAUGAAGAGCAGACUGGUUAAAAUUAUAUAUGUAGGUAUAAUGGAAUGUGAUAUACUUUAAAAAAUCAUCAUGUAGAAAAAGUGUUUAAUAACAUAGAAAAUGUUCACAAUAUCCUUGUAAGU
rnacentral:lncRNA from 10 species